GCCUAGGUGGCUCAGUCGGUUGAGCAUCCAAUUUUGGCUCAGGUCAUGAUCUCACUCUUCGUGGGUUCGAGCCCCACAUUGGGCU
rnacentral:tRNA from 1 species